rnacentral:rRNA from 1 species
GAUGAACGCUGGCGGCGUGCCUAAUACAUGCAAGUCGAGCGAACAGAUAAGGAGCUUGCUCCUUUGACGUUAGCGGCGGACGGGUGAGUAACACGUGGAUAACCUACCUAUAAGACUGGGAUAACUUCGGGAAACCGGAGCUAAUACCGGAUAAGAUUUUGAACCGCAUGGUUCAAUAGUGAAAGACGGCCUUGCUGUCACUUAUAGAUGGAUCCGCGCCGUAUUAGCUAGUUGGUAAGGUAACGGCUUACCAAGGCAACGAUACGUAGCCGACCUGAGAGGGUGAUCGGCCACACUGGAGCUGAGACACGGUCCAGACUCCUACGGGAGGCAGCAGUAGGGAAUCUUCCGCAAUGGGCGAAAGCCUGACGGAGCAACGCCGCGUGAGUGAUGAAGGUCUUCGGAUCGUAAAACUCUGUUAUCAGGGAAGAACAAACGUGUAAGUAACUGUGCACGUCUUGACGGUACCUGAUCAGAAAGCCACGGCUAACUACGUG